rnacentral:lncRNA from 1 species
UGAUCCCUCUUCAGAAAAAAAAAGCCUUAUCCUGAUCCCUUUCCUUCUCUCAGAACGGAGGUGGAGAAGAAGCACGGGAGCACACUGGAGAGUCGACGUGGAGGUGGCGGAUCAGAGGAGCCGGCGAAAAGGUCGGCCAGGGAACGGGAAUAGCAGCUCCACCGUCUCGUCCUCCCAAAUUCUCAGAGCGGAGCUGGAGUAAUGCCGUCUGCGUCGGCGUCGGCGUCGAGCCGUCAAGGUACCUGCUCUUCGUGCGCGCCGGGAUUUACCUUCUCAUGCAUGCUGGCUGCGAGGGUCUCAACCCCGCCGCCGGAGUCGUGGACGGGGUCUCCAUAUUGAGGGGUAGGGAACGCGCGCGAGCGCGCGAGAGAGAGCGCGGGAGGGCAAUGGAAACGUCGAUUUUUGCCGUCAAUUAGAGGUGAUGGCGCAGUAGCGCCUCCAAAUCUAGGAAUGGUAAUUCCAGUUUAGACGUAUGUGUUUUGGGGAUCAUCCUGUUAGUUUGGGUGCUUAGGUAUUGACGCACAACAGCCCUGGAUUGCACUAUAGAUAGCUUUAUUAGUAGGUCGUGCUUAGGAUCAUAGUCCAUUAGUGCGCGUGUGUGUGGUAGCUGUAGAGCUUGGAUCAGGCGCAUAGCAACCCUGGUUUGCAUGCGACAGCAGGACUGGAGCUCACCCGCUGCGGCGUGAUGCGACGAACCGCACCAAAGAACUCCUUUAUUGACAUGACGAUAUCCCCCAUUCAAUCUACAAUUCUGCUACUUCUUUUAAGGUGUGAGCAUGGUCAUUCCUUGCAACUUUUUAUGGGUGCACACCACAUGCUCGAUCAACUGUCUCCAUAGUUUGAACCAGCGGCCUGUCCAGAUGCAUGUCAUAUGUGCAACUUGCUAUGCGACUACUCUUAUGUCUACAAUUGCAUACUACUAGUAGUAUGCAAUAUAGUAUGCAAUUGAGAAUUGAGAAAAACCUUGUAUGUGUGAGUAUUUCAUGUAAACACCCAUUAACUACCGAAACUAUUUCAUAUGAACCUAAUAUGAUUUUGCCUUAGAGAUUGGAUGCGUUUAUUCCCGCUACUAAUCGAAGGGGUGUUCUCAUGCCAGGGUGCGGGAUGUGGGAUGUCUGCCCAUCCGCAACUACUGGAAGAACACGCUGGCAGCGAGCGUCUCCAAGAGCAAGGGAGGAGAUGACGUUGCAGCUCAAGGGGGCCUCACUACCUGAAGGUGAGCAUGGAUGGCGCCCAUUUUUCCCCAUCAAAUUUGUACAAAUUCGUUGCAGAGCAAGGGACUUUUGUGUUUUAAUCAGUGGGUGAAUUUUUUGCAAUCAAUAGAUAGGCAGUUAUGUGAAUUAUGGGGAGAAAGCAGUCGCUUGGAUUUCUAGAAGAGUUGCAUCGUGUUGUAAAGCAGUUGCUUGAUUUUGUUAGGACAGUUGUUUGGUUUUUGCUAGGUCAAUUUUGCAUUGUGUUUUAGGUAAUGCAGUUGUUUGGAUUGCUAGGAAAGUUGCUUGGUUUUCCUAGGACUGUUGCUCGGUUUUGCUAGAACAGUUUUGCAUUGUGUGUUUUCAUAAUAUAGUAGGAUUUCUUUUGCUAGAGACAGUUGCUUUUCAAUCUUGCUAGAACAGUUGUGUGGAUUUUGCUAGGUUUGGGGGAGGGGUAGUAGGAGUUGCUCACAGUGUGACGUCGAGCUGCGUGCGAGGGGGGGAGGGUAGUAGGAUUUUUCUUGGCACAAUUUGUUGAUUUGGUUACAAGCAUUUGUUUGCCUGCAAUAUUCAACUAAAGUUGCUUUGGUUUUACUGAAUUCAUGGGGCCUUUAUAUCCAGUGAUCUUCAGUCUACCUUUUUUACAAACGGUUUAUUCUAAACCAUAGAACAGAGACAUCACAUGCAUCAUAAUGCCUCUGAAAGAGCAACACAAAAAAGAGGCCAGUAGUGAUAGAGCAACUUCGAACCAGAAUAGAGCAACUAGCCAUAAAUCACAAAACAUCAUAAAGUAAAACUUGGUGUGAUUUGGGAAGAAUUAUCACACAACAAAAGCAACAAAAAUACAUAAAAAGAUACCAGAGUUUGCCUACAAUGUUUGGAUGCCUUUUUUAUACACAAUACAUGAAAGAUAACAUAGUUGUCCACAAUCAACCAUACAGUUGCCUAAAAACAUGUAUCGAGUUCCCAAUCCUCAUGAACAGAAAUGUCAUCAAUACAAUAUUUUGGCCAAUAUCUAAAGCUUUUAGAUAUCUUUCAAUUUGGUUUGUGUCAUAGAGAUGCGUUCAGAAUUUCUUCUCCUCGGGUGGGAUCCCAUGGUGCGAUCGUAACGAAUGAUCAUAGAGGGGGGAGGGGUGAAGCUGGUCAUGGGGACAUAACUAAAACAAUGAAGUGUUUGUAGGGGAUUAAGUUUUUCUGUGAACCCCUCCAAAAGCGAACAUGUGUAUAUUCUUUAUCCCUUUUUUUUUCAGGUGCCAUAGUUGCCCAUAAUCAACUAUAAAGUUGCCUAAAGCCAUGAAUCCAGCUGCCCAAUCCUCAUGAACAGAAACAUCACCCAGACCAUAUUUUGGCCACUAUCUAAAGGUUUUAGAUACAUUUUAAUUAAGUUUGUGUCAUAGAGAUGCGCCAAGAAUUUGUUCUCCUCAGGGUGGGAUCCCUUGGUGCGAGAAUGAUCGUAGAGGGGGAGGGGGUGGUGCUGGUCAUGGGGACAUAGUGUUUUCAGGGGACUAAGCUUAUCUGUGAACCCCUUAAAAAAUGAACAUGUGUAUGUUCUUUAUCCCUCUUUUUUAGGUGUCAUCUAGAGAUAUGAGGCACACGACUAUGCGUGCGUGGGUGUGGUUGUGUAUAGUUGCCCAAGGAAAAUAGUGGAGUUUUCUGGAAAACUCCACAAAAUUGCCUGCUAAAUCACAUUGUUGGGAUCAUAGGCACCAGCAAAAUUGGGAGGAAGUUGCUUCAUUUUAAGUAGUAGGACAUAAACAUUUUUAGAAAAAUCUGCAUAUUUUUGUUGUUAAAAAAAGUUCCUUUUUUGUGUGGACACGGUUUGAUUGUAUUUGCACUGAACAAGCUUCUUACGUUUUUUUUUGCAUGGACAAAGUUUCUUAUAUCACACAAGAUAGUUGCUUAAAACCAGUAUGUCUUUGCUGGGAGAAGGGACACAUGGCUAGUCACUUUUGAUAUCAUGCGACCGUGUUUUUUUUUCAUUUUUACUUGUGUAUAUAAUGCACCUACAUAUGCGUUACUGUCACCUAUAUAUGACAUCCUCUUGGUUGUUUUUGUGGUUCUUUGUUUUUUUGUACAAAGGGUUGCCUGAUAUUACUGCAAGGACCUUAUAGGGGCAACAACCCCUUUUUUAAUGUCUGACACUAGUUGCUUCAAAUUUUAUCAUGAGUUGCCUGAAAUCACAUGCAAAGUUCUUGCAUGUAUUUUUACUUUUGCAUAGGGGGAUGCACGAUAAUUUUUACUACAAGGAACUUAUAUGGGAGCAUACCUUUUUUACAGGCCUGAUAGUAGUUGCUUCAAAUUUUAAUAUGAGUUGCCUGAAAAUCACUGGUAAGUUUGCCUCGUGUGGUUUUACUCUUUUGAAAACAUCAUGAUCUAUGGUCCAUAAAUGCAUGAACUGUUUUAAGGCUCUAUACUUGCAGUACAUAGUUGCCUAGCUUUUUGGUCGCUUUUUUCAAGUUCUUACAGGAAAUUGUGUUUUUGCCCAACAACUUAUCUACUCCCUCCGUCCAGGGAAGAGUGUACAUCUAGCUUCAAAAUUUGUCCACAAAAGAGUGUACUUCUAUCUUUCCAAUGCACUUUAAAGUAGGAAAAAAUACUUCUCUCUUACCACACGAUAAUCAAGACCAAUAGCAAUCUACACAUGGUCUUCUUAAUUUCUACAUGCACUUAGCUCAUUGGGGGUUGGGUAAUUAAAGAUGAGAGAGAUGGUGGCUUGCACCUUUCCAAUGCAUUUUUUACUCAACUUCAUAAUUUAUUCUAAAAUUUCUAGAUGUACACUCUUCACUCGACGAAGGGAGUAUGUGUGAAAGGAGACAAACCAUGUUUUUGCUGAUCAUCAACCUGUUUUUUUGGCUGUUCAAGUAUCCCCUGUCAUUAAAACAAGUGAAAGGGGAAGGAGGGUGAGGGGAUGGAGAGGGGUGUGCAGGUUUCAGCCAGUUGUUUUUUUGCUACAAUUUGAUCGCUGCGUCAUGAUUGCCAAAAGCUUUCUAGAUCGGACGGAGAGAGGAUUCUGGAAACUGUUAGGUGGGAGGAGAGGAAGAAGGACGACAUGCCGGGCGAUUGGGUGAUUGGCGCUGGUAGCCAAGAAAAGGGGGGAGGGGGGAACAGGUGGGGCGCGGUUCGGGCGGGCAUGCACUGGUUCCGGGAGACGUGACAGGAGGGGACCGGGCACGCUCUGUUCUUUCCUUUUGCUGGCGUAUUUCCCAAAAUGAACAACCAAAAAUAUGCAGACCAAAUUGAAAGGUAUCGAGUUGCCCAAUCCUGAUGAACAGAAACCUCACCAAGAUCAUAUUUUGGCCAAUAUCUAAAGGUUUAUGAUACUUUUCAAUUACAUUUGUGUCAUAGAUAUGCGUUAAGAAUUUCAUAAAAAUAUACCAGAGUUUGCCCUACACUGUUAGGAUCCCUUUGUUAUGCACUGUACAUGAAAGAUAACAUAGUUGUCCACAAUCAACCAUACAAUUGCCUAAAAGCAUGUAUCGAGCUGCCCAAUCCUCAUGAACAGAAACAUCACUAGGACCAUAUUUCGACCAAUAUUUAAUGGUUUUAGAUAUUUCAAUUAAGUUUGUGUCAACAACUCAAAGCAACUCAACUAAAGGUAACUUAGUACUAAAUUAUCCCCGUUCUGGGCGAGUGAUGUUAGUCUUGACCCAACUCGGUAUACUCAUGAUGGACGUUUAUAGUGACUCCGGUAUGUGAUAGCGUUAUCUGACCUUACCAGUGACGCAGUCAACGGCCAGUAUGAUGAGAAGGUCGCGAUAGUUACCUCUAUGGUCCAGACCGUUGAAGAGUUGUGAUACGAUGUAGUAGAGGAUGUACUCGUAUGACGUAUAACUGGUUGCACAAUCCCCAUUUCCGAUGAACUUGCUUGAUAUAGACGAGGGCCAUGCGACGACGCAGUGUGCAACGGAGUGAUGCCUUGGUUCCGAGGGGCGAUAUUCGCUUCAUUAUGAGGUAGUAGUGAUGGUUGUCGCAAGAGGUACGGGCCGAUCGUGUGCCAUAGUGAUCAUUGAUUCAUCAUAGAGGAGGUUGCAAGGGACGCGAUCUAGCAUAUGCUUCAAAAGGGAGGGACACGAGGGCGUAGCCUGGCGUCGGGGCCGUUAGAUAGGUUGGCCUGGCUCCCGGGCAACGGUGCCAGUGAGCGGUACUCCAGGUGACCGGACGGAUCAUCGCGAGGUGGCGUUCGGCACGGUACACUAGGCAGCACGCGGACAAAUCGGUUGAUGAGGGUUUGGCGACCGCGGCGACACAACAAGCUAGGCAGCACGAGCAGUUGCUGGCGUGUAAGAAAACGUAGCAAAGAAGCAAGCCAGCAUCAUCGUCCAGCUACUUUGCCAUGCACACGUAGUCACGUACUAGAUGGAGGCGUCCUGUGAGGGAGGGUGCGCUCGAAUCAACGAGCCAGCGCAGCGACGCUCCGUGGCCGGGUCCAAAAUACAGUAUAAUCAAGUGAACCAUCGAUCGAACUCCCAACCCAUCGCUCACUCCUAAAUGCUGCAUCCAGCUGAGCUAUCCCAAGGCUUUGUUUUAGAAAAGAAGAUUAGGAUUCACAUUAAAUAGUAGCACCGCUCUUUUUCAUUCUAUUUGACUAAUAAUUUAUAUAUGUGUGCAAUCUGAAAUCAGCAAGCCGUCUCAAGAAUCAAUGGAAGGAAUUAACGAGGGAGAGAAAAGCGAUAAAAUAAAGAAGGAAAAAGACGUGGCUGGAGGGGAACACACCUCGGAGGGCUUGUGGGAAAGAGAAUCACGUAAAAUGUGAGGGACGCCUCAGAUGAAAAUAAAGAGACUGGAUCCGAUGUGAUCGGACGUGAAAAUGAGGAAACGGAAGAGUUCUCAAGAGCUCCGCCGUGUACCCUCAAUUUAUUGCCACGGCUAUGGAGGUCACCCAUCGUGUUGGGUGAAGUUGCUGGAGUUUCGGCCGAGAAAUUCCUGUGGGAGGGGAGGGGGGACGGCUGGCAAUUCCUCAUGCUGUUGUGUUCGUGUAGGCGGAUCUGCCCCGGUGCACCGCACGCUGUGGUGGUGCAUACAGCGCUGGCGGCCAUGGUAUGAUAUAGUGGCAACCGUGGCCGGCACGACAAAGGUGGAUAUGUGGAGGAGCCGUGGAAGCACCCCUGCGCGCGCCCUCGCGUGGCGGCUCCACCCGCUGCCUGCUGCUGCCUUGAAAGUUGCAACGCCGCUGCUCUCUGCACUUUCAGCAAUCAUGGCAGCCCCAAGCCAUGCUGUUCUCGAUGCCAUAUUUUCUAAUUCGAAAUCUUUGCAUUUUUUUGGUAUUUGCUGGGAUUGACCGUGAUGGUAAGGUGCCUAAUACAGACAAGGCACCACGCAGGAAGCUUCUCAUUAACGGGCACUGCCAUGUGGGUGUUGGAGGUCUGCGGCAACGCCUUCCGCUAUAGUGCUGGCGAGAACAUAUAAUCCUCCUAAAGAAUACAAGGUCAGGGUGAGAUAUCAUAUGCUCGUAAACUUCCAGGCCGUGUACUUAGAUGUCCCUUCUAUUUUACACGCGUUGUGAGUGUUAAUCAAGACAUAUAUAAUCCUGUCGAUGCACGUUCACACAACUACAUGUCCCUCCAAAUUUCCUCAGUUAAUACUUAUAGUUAUAUAUGAUAAUAUUAUAAUUAUUGGUGUUAUGAUAUUGGUCCAGAGUCAACUAUACAUUUACAAUAUUGAAGUAAUAUAUUUUAAGUUUGGUACAUGCAAAAAAGUUUACAACCCAUAAACACCUUAUGUGAUAAUUGAUAAACAAAUUAAUGUGACAUACAUCCAUCCAUUUAUGGUAACUACGAAUGCAAGUAUACAUCACAAUCAUUUGUUUCCUAACCACAUAAAAAUAUAUUUGUUUUCAUAAUUUCCGAACAUUUUUUAACGAUGGUCCUUUUAUCUCGGAUAUACCUAUUUUCAUACAUUUCUUACUCCUAAAAACACACGGAAAUUCAAAAAAGGUUAAGUUCCAUAUUUAAAAUUAUUAGCAAUGACCUCUCUUUUACGUUAUUAAACAUGUUAUGACCUUAAUAUCAGGCAUCCGUGUCGAAACACACAUUACAUUGACCAUGAAUGAGCCUCUAUCUCUUUUAAUAGGAUGAUGUAGGGGAAAAAAAUCCUGUUGCAACUCAGGGGCCUUUUUCCUAGUAUAAACUAUAUCUAUAUUAUUCGUGAUCGUGCAUGGUACUAGCUUCUUCUUCAAUAAUAUGUGGCCACGCCGCAAUGGAACGGUCGUAGAGGUCUUGAUCAUGCAUGUUGAGUGGUUUGUAGUUGUCGCCCAUCUUUACCGCCUCACGAAACUUAUUCAUCAAAUGUCUCCGUUUCCCGCGAACACGGGACACACUAAGUUCACCACGGUAGAUGAUGGGUGACGUAGAUGAUGGGUGACGGGCCCUUUUUUAACUUCUGUAUGAGCGCCGGCACCGGUACGUCCCCGCCUUUGUAUUUCUUCUUCCUUCGGAGCAUCCCAUCGGCAUCAAUUAUUUGGCACUCGUCGUUGAAGUGCCAGUAGUUGUACUGGGGCCUUGGCCCCCGCUUCUUCUUGCUUAUUGAAUUUGAGUCGACGGAGACAAACGAUUUGCCACUAUUGGAGUCCAUGGCGCCGAUGUCAGCAGCUGACUCCUCAUCGCCGGAGGAGGAGAUAACAACAACGUCGUCGGCCUUCUUUAAAAAAAAGAAACCAAAUCAAACAAUUCUAAUUAAUUCUCAUGAUUUCUCAAACAUACGUGUAACCAACAUAUGUAGUUUUUUUUUGAAACAAGUAACCAACAUAUGUAGUUAUAUGAAAAGAAAAAACUAAUACUUCGCAUCUGUGCCCGUCGUGGUCUAAGAAUGCAAGGCCGUUGGAUUUGGUGGAGUAAUUGUCGACGUCAACAGCAGCAUCUUGAGAGGAGGUAUUGUCCACCUUUUUGUAAAAAAGAAAGAGAAACCGAGUCAAAUAAAAUUCUUACUGUGCAAUGUGUAUUCUCAGUGCAUUGGUGCAUAUAUAUAUAUAUAUUUUUUCUAUCUAUCUAUGAUCUGUAUAUAUACCUAUACCUACCUAUACUAAUUAGAGACUAUUUUCACGUUAAUUAAAAAAUACGAGCCAUUGAUUUUGUAGGAUCAAAUUAUUACGGUGUAGAUAAUCCUCUGUUGUAAUUUUGCACCGCUGUGAAUCCAACGCGUUGCUAUCAAGAGUCCUAUGCUCGCACGUACUCCUGAAGCAGCACACAAAGCGUAUAUGGUGUGGCCCCACUAUGUUCCCUAACAGAAAAAUCAAUCAACAAAUCUAAAGCCGUAACCUUCCAAGAUGCAAUCUCCACUCCCGGCUGUCUCUGCAGCAAGGUUGCUCCGACUCCACCAAUCAACCCCACGCCCCUACCCUCUUCCCAACCCCGCACAUAUACUUGACUUUUUAUGAUGUGAGGUUUUCUUUGCAGAAAUUUGGUACAAAUUGUCAUCAGCAUAUAUUAUUCUCUGGCUAAAGUUUCUUUUAAGGAGAUCAUUUGGUUCUUUAGCACUUUGUAGUUACUAAGUGCUUUUCCUAUCCUUUAUAUACUUCACACCGAAGCUCAUUGAACACUUCUAUUUCCAAAAAAAAAGGGGUUAAUUUCUGCCAUCUAGCUUCCCGAUACAGAUAAUUGGUUAGUUCACAUACAAAGAAAAAUAAAUGUAUAACUUUUUCAAUAGCGAUUGGACAUAUUAAUGAAUAUGUAAUUUCUACACUCUUCUCAGAUGACAAGGUUCUUAUUUAUUCCAGAUGAACGUACAAUCAUUGACAACCAAAUGUAAAGCUAUAUACAACACUUUAAUCUGCCUUUUAUUGAGAUUUUCUCUUACACAUGCCACAGUUCCCCCCAUCAUCAUAUCUGAUUCGGACUCCAUCGCUGCUACCUCAUCAAUCUCUCUCCCAGGUGGAGGCGCGUAUUAGGCAUUUAGCCAUGGGUUGCCCAUAGCUUGGACAAAUCAGUGGCUGGAUAUCUAUGUUGCCUAUAUACAUGUGCUUACUUUAAAAGACACACAUCAUCAGCACAAGGUCACUCUGUUUUUUACUUUUUCUUUAACCAGAAAUAUGGACUUAACACACAUAUAUUUUCAUUCUCAUGUAAUGGGAUAUAUCUUGGAAGGAAAAAAAAUCAUGUUGUAUCAUGUUAUAUCUUUGAGAUAGUGUCAUAAAAGAGGGUAUCCUCUAAUUAUAUAACCCACGCCUUUCUCUACAUGGAUGGGAUGACUAUGAAGAUAUGACCUGUGUACACUAUAAACGCUAUCAAUUUUAUGUAGAUUUAUUUCAGAUUUCAUUUUUGGAUGAUAAACAUUUAAUGCGAAAAAAAUUACAUCAAAUAAUCAAAAAUCUUGGUUGUGGAAUCAUUUGUAGUUUAGGCCAUCUUUCAAAGCGAGGCAUUGGAUAAUUUUGGUACAAGGUUUAUCAAGUUAGUAGACGGACAAAUACACAUUUGUCUAUAUACAUGGACUUGAAAUUAUUUUGUUUGCACAAAUGAUAAUUCGAUAGUGUAUAUAGACAUGCUAAAUUUGUGUUAUUUCACGAAUUAAUUGCAAUUAAUUUUUGGUACACAAAAUGGCUUUGUCUGGAAACGACCACAUGAGCCUCUCUUUUUUGACAUUGUUGGCAAUGGCUUAUUGUUGGCCCUCUUGUUUAAACUAUUUAGGAACCGGCUAUUACAUUGAAACGGAAUAUGCAAGAAAAACAUUUACUAAAAUAUUAUAUAUGCUAAAAUUUUAAAUAAUAACUAGCCCAUGUGAAUGCACGGGUUGGCAACUACUAUACAUGUAAUCAAUGAUCGACUUAUAGGAAAGAAAAAGAACGUACAGCACAUGUCUUCUUGUUGCCGGGGCCGUCGUCGGAGAAGUCAAGGUCGUCAAGGGAGGUCACGUCAGCGAUGUUCAUACCAAGCAGCUCCUCGUCGUCGUUGUCGUCCAGGAGGAUGACCUCCGAGGAGGAGACGUGAAUAGGCGCCAUGUGACACAGGUGGGUGGUUGUGUUGUGGAGCUGAAGGUGUUGGAUCGAUCAUCGUGUAUAUAUAUAGACAGAUAAAAUUUGCCUCCAAAAGUUGUGGUGGGAACGAGAGAAGCGUUUUGGCGCCAGAUGCCGUGCAUUGCCCGCCAGAAACUGCGUUUCCCUCUCCCUGCAAUGUAAUGAAGGAGAGAAUCAAUUUGGAUGGAUGAAAGGGGCGAGCGCAAUCGCAUCCUCCUUUCCAAUCAAUUGUUUCCCUCCUGUGGUACCUCCAUCGUACGCCACCCAUCGAUCGAUUAUUUGUUUCCUUUCUUUGCGAGCGACAAUCCCUCCCUUCCUUAUUUAUUAUUCUAUUAAGAUAAGAGGAUCAAGAAACAGAGGAGAAACUUGGGCCAUGGCGUACGUGACUCACCGGAAAUCAAACCAUUGACACGAGACCAUGACGUCUCCAUCGUCUCCUUCCUCUCCGGCGAGAGGAACAGCUCGCCACUUGAACCCGUUGAUCUCCGCCUACAGGUCGGCGAACGUGACGGACGGCAGCCUCGGGAUGAGCUAGCUCCUCGUCCUCGGUGUCGCCACCGAUCCGAUCCAAUCGACCCGACUAGGGCAAGGACGGCAUCGAUCAUGUGCAGCAUCAUCAACCAGCUGCUGCCGCCUUGGCCGUGCUGCAUCUUCGACAAGUACGUCAGCCAGCAAUAGAACAACGACGCGUCUUUGUGCACGCGCGUACGUACAUUACGUGCUUCAUCCACCGAAAAUUCAUGCACAUGCACAUGAUGCAUGCGUCCACCGAUCCACGUACCACGUACGUACGUGCACUCAUCCGUGACGCUAGCUAUCCUAUCUAUCUUAGUAAUAAUAAUGAAAAAUAAUCAUGCAUCUCAAUCAUCCAUUGCUUAUAUACUUAUUAGUUACCGAUCUAUAUUAGUUAUCGUACGUGGGUCAUGAUGAUGUAAGGGCAUCACUAGAGUUUUGGCUUUUAUCAGACUAGUGCUAGGCCGUCAGAUCGAAUGCAUGAUGAACGUCCGAUGUAGUAGCUAGUUGCUCCGGGUAAGUUAAUUCGCUUCUCUAAUUGAUUACUCCGUCAUAACUCUUUCCGCAUCCAUCGGCCUGGGUUGUUACCAUGCAUGGAUCUCCCUAAUUGCUGCUUCCUAUAACUACUUCUGUCAAUCGCGUGUGAUCCACCAUACACUUCGUCCUCCAUCCACGUCCAUGCUUCCUAUUCUUUUUCCUUUGCAACAAGGGUAACUGGGUAGGAGAAUUUAUUUGAAAUGUAAUAAUGGUUUUGCUUCCAUCGCAAUAAACUAUGUUUCCGUCGCUAGAAUAAUUUGCUUCCACUUUUGAGAUAGAAAUUUGAUUAAAAAAUUAAAUAGGUUGUUUUCAUCGCAGCAAAACUAUGUGUUGUCACAUUUUUUGGGUUUACUGUGGAGUUAGUUGAUUCACAAAUACUUGGAUGACACUUCGUAUACCCGAUUAUUUUGGAGAAAUUUGUUCAACAUUUUUCCUAGAUACUAGUAAAAUUUGCUGCUAUUGCACUACAAAUUUGCUUUGAUGUAAUUAAAAAUUUAUCACGUGUAACAUUCUAUCUUGUUUUCAGUGCAACAAAAUUUUGCUUCGACCGAUGAGACAAUUUGUUGCUAUUGCAAUCUAAUGUUGUUUUGAUGUAAUAAAAUUUUGUGUCGGAGCACUUUGCUUCCAUGUAAAAAAAUCAUCUAUUUAUUUCCAACACAAGGAAAACUUUGCUUCCGAAUGCAUUUUUCCACUUCCAUCAAAUGCAAAUGUUUCUGUGGUAAAAACAAUUUGUCUCCAACAGAAAAGAAGUUCGUUUCCUGCUUCAUUCAUUCAUAUACUAAGUUCAAGGCAUGAUACAAGGUUAUUUUCUUCCAAGUCUCCAAUAGUAUGUACACUGCUUCUAAGUUAAUAUCAUAUGUUCCUAUAGAUUGUAAACUUGCUUCUCUUCGCAUGUGGUCCUCUUCAUUGUAGGGAAGAUCCAUGUCUCAUCACACUUCUAGGUGCAUGCAUGGGUUGCUUCCAUGUAUGCUUCCAUAUAUGUCUACGGCGGCGCCCAACUGCUUGAAAGCAUACAUCACCAAAUACAUGAAAUAUAUGGAGCAUGACGAUAGUUUUUAAAUGCAAACAAUGCUCUUGACAAUGGGAGAAAAAGUAUAUAAACAGAGAAGUAUGUUUCUAUUGCUGUAAACUAUCUCGGCUCAAGAAAACAUAUAGUAAAGUUAUGAAGCAUGGACAUUAGGAAGCAUCCAUUGUUAUGCACUGUUUCAUAAAAAUAUACCAGAGUUUGCCCUACACUAUUAGGAUCCCUUUGUUAUGCAAUGUACAUGAAAGAUAACAUAGUUGUCCACAAUCAACCAUACAAUUGCCUAAAAGCAUGUAUCGAGCUGCCCAAUCCUCAUGAACAGAAACAUCACUAGGAGCAUAUUUCAACCAAUAUUUAAUGGUUUUAGAUACCUUUCAAUUAAGUUUGUGUUAACAACUCAAAGCAACUCAACUAAAGGUAACUUAGUACUAAAUUAUCCCCGUUCUGGGCGAGUGAUGUUAGUCUUGACCCAACUCGGUAUACUCAUGAUGGACGUUUAUAGUGACUCCGGUAUGCGAUAGCGUUAUCUGACCUUACCAGUGACGCAGUCAACGACUAGUAUGAUGAGAAGGUCGCGAUAGUUACCUCUAUGGUCCAGACCGUUGAAGAGUUGUGAUACGAUGUAGUAGAGGAUGUACUCGUAUGACGUAUAAGUGGUUGCACAAUCCCCAUUUCCGAUGAACUUGCUUGAUAUAGACGAGGGCCAUGCGACGACGCAGUGUGCAACGGAGUGAUGCCUUGGUUCCGAGGGGUGAUAUUCGCUUCAUUUUGAGGUAGUAGUGAUGGUUGUCGCAAGAGGUACAGGUCGAUCGUGUGCCAUAGUGAUCAUUGAUUCAUCAUAGAGGAGGUUGCAAGGGACGCAAUCUAGCAUAUGCUUCAAAAGGGAGGGACACGAGGGCGUAGUCUGGCGUCGGGGCCGUUAGAUAGGUUGGCCUGGCUCCUGGGCAACGGUGCCAGUGAGCGGUACUCCAGGUGACCGGACGGAUCAUCACGAGGUGGCGUUCGGCACGGUACACUAGGCAGCACGCGGACAAAUCGGUUGAUGAGGGUUUGGCGACCGCGGCGACACAACAAGCUAGGCAGCACGAGCAGUUGCUGGCGUGUAAGAAAACGUAGCCACGUACUAGAUGGCUUAGCUGCUGCCUGAUGGAUGGAUGCAUGGCGGGUAGGGUGCUGAUUGUGUCUGCUAGCAACGCAUGCAUCGCGCGGCCGUUCUGUUCAAGGCGUCCUGUGAGGGAGGGUGCGCUCGAAUCAACGAGCCGGCGCAGCGACGCUCCGUGGCCGGGUCCAAAAUACAGUAUAAUCAAGUGAACCAUCGAUCGAACUCCCAACCCAUCGCUCACUCCUAAAUGCUGCAUCCAGCUGAGCUAUCCCAAGGCUUUGUUUUAGAAAAGAAGAUUAGGAUUCACAUUAAAUAGUAGCACCGCUCUUUUUCAUUCUAUUUGACUAAUAAUUUAUAUAUGUGUGCAAUCUGAAAUCAGCAAGCCGUCUCAAGAAUCAAUGGAAGGAAUUAACGAGGGAGAGAAAAGCGAUAAAAUAAAGAAGGAAAAAGACGUGGCUGGAGGGGAACACACCUCGGAGGGCUUGUGGGAAAGAGAAUCACGUAAAAUGUGAGGGACGCCUCAGAUGAAAAUAAAGAGACUGGAUCCGAUGUGAUAGGACGUGAAAAUGAGGAAACGGAAGAGUUCUCAAGAGCUCCGCCGUGUACCCUCAAUUUAUUGCCACGGCUAUGGAGGUCACCCAUCGUGUUGGGUGAAGUUGCUGGAGUUUCGGCCGAGAAAUUCCUAUGGGAGGGGAGGGGGGACGGCUGGCAAUUCCUCAUGCUGUUGUGUUCGUGUAGGCGGAUCUGCCCCGGUGCACCGCACGCUGUGGUGGUGCAUACAGCGCUGGCGGCCAUGGUAUGAUAUAGUGGCAACCGUGGCCGGCACGACAAAGGUGGAUAUGUGGAGGAGCCGUGGAAGCACCCCUGCGCGCGCCCUCGCGUGGCGGCUCCACCCGCUGCCUGCUGCUGCCUUGAAAGUUGCAACGCCGCUGCUCUCUGCACUUUUAGCAAUCAUGGCAGCCCCAAGCCAUGCUGUUCUCGAUGCCAUAUUUUCUAAUUCGAAAUCUUUGCAUUUUUUUUGGUAUUUGCUGGGAUUGACCGUGAUGGUAAGGUGCCUAAUACAGACAAGGCACCACGCAGGAAGCUUCUCAUUAACGGGCACUGCCAUGUGGGUGUGGGAGGUCUGCGGCAACGCCUUCCGCUAUAGUGCUGGCGAGAACAUAUAAUCCUCCUAAAGAAUACAAGGUCAGGGUGAGAUAUCAUAUGCUCGUAAACUUCCAGGCCGUGUACUUAGAUGUCCCUUCUAUUUUACACGCGUUGUGAGUGUUAAUCA